rnacentral:snRNA from 1 species
AGCCAAGCCUUCGCUCAACUCA